AAUAUGAAUGUGUACUGUUAUUUCACAUUUACAUCGAAAUAACCUAUUGGCUUUUAGCUGACCUGGAUAUAUAGGCUCCUGCUAUAGCAUUUUUGGAGACAAACAAGUUUUCUUUUUUUAUUUUUGUUGUUGAAGGCUGGCUUGACAAGUAAAGAAGGUUUAAAAAGUAAUUAUUGCAUUUGUACACUCAUCCAUUCAUGCAUGCAGACAUGGACUUUAGGCAUUUUUUUCAUUCUACCAAACACCCUGUGGGUGCCCAGCACAUCCCAGAUAGUAGGUUAGGUGCUGAAGACUCCAAGGUAAAUAAACAGGGGUUCCAGCCUCAAGGAGCAACUGUUCUAGAAGAAGAGACAGAUUAUGACAAUGCUCAAACCAGCCUCUGUGAUAGCCCCCCACGGUCCCCACCUCCCUGUAUUCACACCCAAUGGGAUAGCUCCCUGUUGUAUGCAGGCUGGUCCCAGGGAGUCACUUCAAACAAAGAGAAUACAGCCAAGGCCAUAGGACUCUGUCUCCUGACUUGGACUGUCCUCUCUCCCUCGCUCCCUUGGUUGGAAGGAAGCUGGGCUGCCAUAUUGUGAACUCUUCCAUGGAGAGACCAUGUGGCAAUGAACUGCUAUCUCUGCCCAGUAGCCAGUGUGGACCUGCGGCCUGCCAAUAGCCACAUGAAUGAGUGUGGGAGUGGAUCUUCUGAGGCCCACCAACAGCUGCGCCAGUAAAACCGGGUCCUGUGCUCGUUCACAGUGAUGUGUGGGACUCUAAGCAGAUGCUCUGAGCUCAGCCCACCUGGAUUCCUGAUGCUCUGGAAUUCUGAGAUCUUAAAUGUUUGUUGUUUUAAGCCACCAAGUUUUGGGGUACCUUAUUAUGCAGCAUCAGACAGCAAAGACAAGAUGCUUUCUAUCGUAGGAGUAGAGGCGGCAGUGAGAGAAGUCGGGCAAGGUUCCCUAAGGAGGGGGUGGUCCUGGCUAGAGAAG
rnacentral:lncRNA from 1 species